GAGUUUUUCGACAUUAAAAUUAAUUACGUAAUUUUUGAGCCCGAAUACUAUACAUUUCUAUUAUAUUUUUGAUCGAAUUUAUUGAACAAACCAGUGUUGUGUAUAACGAUCAGAAAGUAAGAGACGCCGAUUGGUGGAAUAUAGCGAGGCACGCCAUCUCGUGACUCUGAAUCUUUUAGAUGGAAUCUAAAGUAACUCAUAAAACAGAAACUGAAGGAGAAGUAGUAUACAUGUGGUGGGGAUCAGCAUGUUCUCCCACCGUAGAGGUCUUUUUGAACUUACCCAAGUCCAUACAUAUCUGUGUAUACGCUGACGACGCGUUUACACAGAGUGUAAAUACUUAAAUAUCGAGGAAAACAAAAACAAAUGUAUUCUUUUGAUGUCGAUGAAAAUUUAUCGUGAAUUAUCAGUUGGAGUUUCAAAGAUAAGCAACAUUAAACGGGAAAGGAGAAAAAAAUAAGGUGGAUAACAAAGCGAAUAUUAUGAGGCAAGCAAGUGGUGCCGCCAUUAACCUACGGCGAAAUAAACGAAGUACGUGAAAGCGUUUGACGUCAGUGAUCAAGAACGCUGAUAAUCUUACGACGCAGAUAUCGUUACGUGGGAAUAUCAUAGAAUAUAUCUUUGUUGGUUUACGGUCGAGAUUAAUUAAACAUAUGAACGUACUUCGGUGGUUUAUGGUUUAAUACCUCGAGAAUAUCAGUAGGUCCAUAAUGGGCGGGGUCGUUGCUUGGGUCGAGUGAGAGACAUGGAGCGACCUCAGUGUUCUCAGUGGUGAGCUGCACGGCCAUCGCCGACCGUCGGUUUCGCCUAGCGCGACCAACGUAUACUCUGCUAUGACAUCGCUCUGAAAAUCCCAGAUUAUCCCAGUAAAAGGUAGGAGUUUCCCUCCGAAAUUUGGAUGCGCGCUGUCUCUCUCUCUUUCUGUCUCUCUACUUCUCUCGUUCGCUCGACCCCUGUCUUUAUUUCACCCUGAUGGUGUGCUGUCCCCCGACAUGUUCCAUCGCUUUUUCGUAGAUUUCCCAAAUGCGUUUCUUCGAUGACUGAAUAUACAUAUAUAUGAAUAUAUAUAUAUAUAUAUGCGCGCGCGCCCG